GGGAAUAUUGCACAAUGGGCGAAAGCCUGAUGCAGCCAUGCCGCGUGUGUGAAGAAGGCCUUCGGGUUGUAAAGCACUUUCAGCGAGGAGGAAAGGUUACUGGCUAAUAUCCAGUAGCUGUGACGUUACUCGCAGAAGAAGCACCGGCUAACUUCGUGCCAGCAGCCGCGGUAAUACGAGGGGUGCAAGCGUUAAUCGGAAUUACUGGGCGUAAAGCGUACGCAGGCGGUUUGUUAAGCGAGAUGUGAAAGCCCCGGGCUCAACCUGGGAACUGCAUUUCGAACUGGCAAACUAGAGUCUUGUAGAGGGGGGUAGAAUUUCAGGUGUAGCGGUGAAAUGCGUAGAGAUCUGAAGGAAUACCGGUGGCGAAGGCGGCCCCCUGGACAAAGACUGACGCUCAGGUACGAAAGCGUGGGGAGCAAACAGGAUUAGAUACCCUGGUAGUCCACGCCGUAAACGAUGUCUACUCGGAGUUUGGUGUCUUGAACACUGGGCUCUCAAGCUAACGCAUUAAGUAGACCGCCUGGGGAGUACGGCCGCAAGGUUAAAACUCAAAUGAAUUGACGGGGGCCCGCACAAGCGGUGGAGCAUGUGGUUUAAUUCGAUGCAACGCGAAGAACCUUACCUACUCUUGACAUCCUCAGAACUUUCCAGAGAUGGAUUGGUGCCUUCGGGAACUGAGAGA
rnacentral:rRNA from 1 species